GAGCUAGUGGCGUCAAUGUAAUUGACUACAAAGAUAUUUAAUUGACUAGUUUUCUUGAGAGAAGCUAGUGAUAUCAAUAUAAUUUACUGUUGGGAUACUUGAUU